rnacentral:lncRNA from 1 species
GCCUUAUGGGGACUGUAGUUCGGAAGCCGACAAUCGCCCCUUAGGUAAGCCUGGGAAGGGCCGCCCGGAGGCUUCUUCUGAGCAUGUGCAGAUCCUGGUGCUCUACCUGGGCGCUCCUUCCGGUUCUCCAGGUCCUUCCGGGGGCGGGUCGUGCCGGCUCCGAGCUGCUCGGGUUCCGCUGUUCGCUGUACUUGGUGCGAAGUGGAAGCGAAGCAGCUCUGGUAUCACCACUCUUGGCCCUUUCUCAAGAGCAUCCGAAAAUGAACAAAUCCCAGUGCCCAACUUGGAAAUUCUACCUGCUCUCAAUUCUUAUGAGCUCUUGGGUACCUGCUCUUCUAAGAAGCCAGAGGCAACCGUUUGACUAUCACAUUUAUAUCAUACAUAUACGUCUGAUAAGAAAUACUACAAUUUUUCUCAAGUCUUGGCUUUUUUCCCAGGGCUUUUUUGUUUGUUCCAGAUAAAUUUAGAUGUGUUCUGUUAAGUACAAUAACAAAGAAAGAACAAAACAAUAAAA